rnacentral:rRNA from 1 species
AUACGUAGGUGGCAAGCGUUGUCCGGAAUUACUGGGUGUAAAGGGAGCGCAGGCGGGGAAGCAAGUUGGGAGUGAAAUCUAUGGGCUUAACCCAUAAAUUGCUUUCAAAACUGUUUUUCUUGAGUAGUGCAGAGGUAGGCGGAAUUCCCGGUGUAGCGGUGGAAUGCGUAGAUAUCGGGAGGAACACCAGUGGCGAAGGCGGCCUACUGGGCACCAACUGACGCUGAGGCUCGAAAGUAUGGGUAGCAAACAGGAUUAGAUACCCUGGUAGUCCAUACCGUAAACGAUGAUUACUAGGUGUGGGGAGAUUGACCCUCUCCGUGCCGCAGUUAACACAAUAAGUAAUCCACCUGGGGAGUACGACCGCAUGGUUGAA